rnacentral:rRNA from 1 species
GUCUUCAAACUGGAUUUUGCUAAGGCGUUCGAAUCCAUCGCCUGGCCAAGCCUUCGCCGGAUCAUGGAGGUCCGGGGGUUCCCGGCUCUCUGGUGCGAUUGGAUGGACCUCAUCCUCCGUUCCUCAAAAGCCGCGGUUCUUCUCAACAGCGUGCCGGGGCGCUGGUUCGCGGUUCGGAAAGGGCUGCGCCAGGGAGACCCCAUCUCCCCGUACCUGUUCCUCCUGGUCGCGGACGUUCUCCAGCGCAUGAUCAGGGGCGAUGGGCCUCUCCCUUACCCCCUGGUGGUGGGGGCGCCGGCAGUGGACCUCCAGUACGCGUUCGACACGUUGAUCAUCAUGUGUGCUGACCCCGCGGCUGCGGCGCGGCUUCGUGUCAUCCUCGACCUCUUUGCGGCGGCUACCGGCCUCGUCAUCAACUUCUCCAAAAGCAUGCUCGUCCCGAUGCACGUCGAGCACAAGGUUCUCGCCUCUGUUCUGGCGUCCUUUGAGUGCACGGUGGGUUCCUUCCCAUAG